CCUACGGGAGGCAGCAGUGGGGAAUAUUGGACAAUGGGGGCAACCCUGAUCCAGCCAUGCCGCGUGUGUGAAGAAGGCCCUCGGGUUGUAAAGCACUUUCAGUGAGGAAGAACGCCUGGUGGUUAAUACCCAUCAGGAAAGACAUCACUCACAGAAGAAGCACCGGCUAACUCCGUGCCAGCAGCCGCGGUAAUACGGAGGGUGCGAGCGUUAAUCGGAAUUACUGGGCGUAAAGGGCGCGUAGGUGGCUUGAUAAGCCGGUUGUGAAAGCCCCGGGCUCAACCUGGGAACGGCAUCCGGAACUGUCAAGCUAGAGUGCAGGAGAGGAAGGUGGAAUUCCCGGUGUAGCGGUGAAAUGCGUAGAGAUCGGGAGGAAUACCAGUGGCGAAGGCGGCUUUCUGGACUGACACUGACGCUGAGGUGCGAAAGCGUGGGUAGCAAACAGGAUUAGAUACCCGAGUAGUC
rnacentral:rRNA from 1 species